GACGAACGCUGGCGGCGUGCCUAAUACAUGCAAGUCGAACGCAGUGGGGACGGGUGAGUCACACGUGGGUAACCUCCGAUCAGCGGGGGUAACACUUGGUAACAGGUGCUCAACUGAUACUUAUGGAUGGACCCGCAGUGCAUUAGCUAGUUGGUGAGGUAACGGCUCACCAAGGCCCAGAUGCAUAGCCGACCUGAGAGGGGGAUCGGCCACACUGGGACUGAGACACGGCCCAGACUCCUACGGGAGGCAGCAGUAGGGAAUCUUCGGCAAUGGACGAAAGUCUGACCGAGCAACGCCGCGUGAGUGAAGAAGGUUUUCGGAUCGUAAAGCUCUGUUGUUAAAGAAGCGGUAAUUAACCAGAAAGGGACGGCUAACUACGUGCCAGCAGCCGCGGUAAUAC
rnacentral:rRNA from 1 species